rnacentral:tRNA from 1 species
AAAUGUCAGAGCGGUUUAAUUUGCUCGCUUGGAAAGCGGGUGUACGGUAACGUACCGAGGGUUCGAAUCCCUCUUUCUCCACCA